rnacentral:tRNA from 1 species
GCCGGAGUAGCUCAGUUGGCCAGAGCAGCGCUCUUGUAAAGCGAAGGUCAGGGGUUCGACUCCCCUCUCCGGCU